AACUUCCCAGUAUAGGAUUUUGGAGAGUUCCCAGUACUCUACCAGUCUUGACUGUGGGAAGGAAAGGCAAGUAGAGGCAUACCAUUCCAUUCCUAGCUUGGUCAGUGGCUAGUGAGUGGAAGACAAUCUGCUAUAAGU